AACGCUUUGUGGUUCAACUGAUUUGAAGAGCUUGCUCAGAUAUGACGAUGAACAUUGCAAAGAGUGGCGAACGGGUGAGUAACACGUGGGAAACCUACCUCUUAGCAGGGGAUAACAUUUGGAAACAGAUGCUACUACCGUAUAACAAUGACAACCGCAUGGUUGUUAUUUAAAAGAUGGUUCUGCUAUCACUAAGAGAUGGUCCCGCGGUGCAUUAGCUAGUUGGUAAGGUAAUGGCUUACCAAGGCGAUGAUGCAUAGCCGAGUUGAGAGACUGAUCGGCCACAAUGGGACUGAGACACGGCCCAUACUCCUACGGGAGGCAGCAGUAGGGAAUCUUCCACAAUGGGCGAAAGCCUGAUGGAGCAACGCCGCGUGUGUGAUGAAGGGUUUCGGCUCGUAAAACACUGUUGUAAGAGAAGAAUGACAUUGAGAGUAACUGUUCAAUGUGUGACGGUAUCUUACCAGAAAGGAGCGGCUAAAUACGUGCCAGCAGCCGCGGUAAUACGUAUGUUCCAAGCGUUAUCCGGAUUUAUUGGGCGUAAAGCGAGCGCAGGCGGUUAUUUAAGUCUGAAGUGAAAGCCCUCAGCUCAACUGANGAAUUGCUUUGGAAACUGGAUGACUUGAGUGCAGUAAGGAAAGUGGAACUCCAUGCGUAGCGGUGAAAUGCGUAGAUAUAUGGAAGAACACCACUGGCGAAAGCAGCUCUCUGGACUGUAACUGACAUUGAGGCUCGCACGUGUGGGUAGCAAACACGAUCAGAUACACAGGUAGUCCACACCGUAGACGAUCAGUGCUAGUGUNUGAUGGUUUGCGGCCCUUCACU
rnacentral:rRNA from 1 species